GACGGAGGGUGCGAGCGUUAUUCGGAAUCAUUGGGCGUAAAGGGCGUGUAGGCGGCCGGUUAAGUCAGGGGUGAAAGCCCGGGGCUCAACCUCGGAAGUGCCUCUGAUACUGGCUGGCUUGAGUCCGGGAGAGGGAAGCGGAAUUCCGGGUGUAGAGGUGAAAUUCGUAGAUAUCCGGAGGAACACCGGUGGCGAAGGCGGCUUCCUGGACCGAGACUGACGCUGAGACGCGAAAGCGUGGGGAGCAAACAGG
rnacentral:rRNA from 1 species